CCUACGGGAGGCAGCGGUGGGGAAUAUUGCACAAUGGGGGAAACUCUGAUGCAGCAACGCCGCGUGAGCGAUGAAGGCCUUCGGGUCGUAAAGCUCUGUCCUAAGGGAAGUAUACUGACGGUACCCUAGGAGGAAGCACUGGCUACCUACGUGCGAGCAGCCGCGGUAAUACGUAGGGGGCUAGAGGUAUCCGGAAUUACGGGGAGUAAAGGGUUCAGAGGCGGCGCUUCACGUCAGAGGUGAAAGGCCACGGAUCAACCGUAGUAAGCCUUUGCAACUGUAGGGUUUGAGUGAAGGAGUGGAUAGUGGAAUUACCAGUGUCGCGGUGAAAAGCGUAGAUAUUGGGAGGAACACCAGUUGCGAAGGCGGCUCUCUGGACUGUAACUGACGCUGAGGCACGAAAACGUGGGGACCGAACAAGAUUAGAAACCCCGGUAGUC
rnacentral:rRNA from 1 species